GAUGGAAAACAGCUGGUCAGCAUCCUCAGCUAAUACUUGUUAAACGCCGUCUUAAAAAUAAUCCGUUAGCUUGAGGACAUUAUGCUAAGCGAAAUAAGCUAGUCACAAAAGGACAAAUACUAUAUGAUUCCACUUAUGUGAGGUAACUUCAGUAGUCAAACGCAGUAGAACAAAAAGUAGAAUGGUGGUUCCAAGGCCUGGGAGGAGGCGGCAUUAGGGAGUUACUGUUUAACGGAUACAGAGUUUCAAUUUUGCAAGAUGAAAAGAGUCUGUGGAUGGAUGGUAGUGAUGAUAGCACAACAAUGUGAAUGUAUUUAAUGCUGCAGAAGUAUACACUUGUAUGCAGCAGAAGAGCCUUUGAGUGAAGACCUGGGAACUUGGAAAAGACUUCUUACUCCGUUACAAUCUUCCAAUUAACGGCAAUAAAUCAGAGUUCAGGCUAAGGAGUCACUGAGAUUUUCCUAGGCCCACAGCCAUCCAAAGUCCCAGGCCUGAGAAAAGCACCAAAUGGUCUUUGGUUAAGGCCAGCAGCGUGCCUUGGAAGUGGGAGAGCAGUCAUGUUUGUUAAAAUUCAGAAGAAAGUAACAACUCCAGUGGCAGAUCCUGACCAGCUGGGAUGUUCUGCUCCAUC
rnacentral:lncRNA from 1 species